UAUAGUUUGAAAGAUCUCAGGUCUACGACAUUGGGCUGGAAAAAUAUAGUGAUUUAAAAAUCAGAGUUUGCGGCAAAUGCUUCAUUCAUUUCUAUUCCAACACUCUGCUUUAUAUAUGAGAUUAACUCUGAUUGUAUACAUGUUGUAAUAUAUGCAUAUAGUUGGUAUUGAAUGGUGUGAAUUCCAAAGUUUGCAGGGUUGGAUAGAAGAUGAAACUCCGGGUUUAAAUUAGAAUAGACUAAGCUUGAAAAGGAAACUUAAGAGAUUGCAAAUCAUCAAACCUAGUUUAGUUUUUUUCAAAAGAGAUGUAUUUUAAAAAAUAUUCAAAUAUUUUUAAAAAGUUUUGUAAUUGACAAUGAUUGUCAUUCUGUAAUUUCCGUUGUAUGUCAAUACCUUCAUGGCCUCAUUUCAUUAAAGUUUGCAUGGACUUGGAUCAACUUCAGUUUGAGUUAAAGGGAGUGUUGGCUUGGUACUAUUUUCAUUUCGAAAUUUGACAGGGAAUUUCAAAAUGGCGAAUAAAAACUGAAAACUGGGAGUUUUCAAAAUCUCAAGAUUGAUAAAAUUAAUCAUUAAUUAAAAUUGCAUUGUUGAUUCUCAUUAUUCACCCUUUCUUAAUUUGAGUACAUUCCCAUUAAGUUUGGCCUAGAUAGAGCAUGGCCUGGUAUUGUCUCAAGGGAUAAUUCUACUUGAGAAAUUAAGCUUUGAUCCUCAAAUUCAAAUAGGCCCACAUUGGAUAACGAGAUCAAGCCUUCAAUAUUAUGAAUAUCCACACAAUAUUUCCGAUCUUAGAACUUACAAAACAAAACAAAGACAUCUUUGUAAACAUGGAGUGCCCUCAAGCUCCGACAGCGGAGGACUGAGAUUAUAAAAAAACAUGUAAAUAAUUAUAAUAAUGUAAAAUACUUUAAGCUCUGUUUAAAGGAAGGGACCGAUAAGGAGGGUUUGUUAAAGUGCAACCUCACAUUUCCACAAAGUUUUUAUUGUGUCGAGUCUCAAAAGGACCUGGUGACAUGAUUUGUUUAAAAUUAAAAUAAAAUUUGUUUCAACAA